UGAGUUGUCUUUUCACUCUCUCAAUAGUGUCCUUUGAUGCACAAAAGUUUUACAUUUUGAUGAAGUCCUAUUUAUCUAAUUCCUUUCAUUACCUAUGCCUUUGCUGCCAUAUCUAAGGUAUCAUUGCCAAAUUUAGCACAUGAAGAUUUCCCUCUAUGUUUUCUUCUAAAAGUUUUAUAGUUUUAGCCCUUAGUCCAUUUUGAGAUAAAUUUUGCAUAUGGUGUUAGGUAAGGGUUCAACUUCAUUCUCUUGCGUGAGAAUGUCCAGUUUUCCCAGCAUCGUUUGUUGAAAAGACUGUCCUUUUCCCCAUUUAAUGGAAUUGUUAGUGUUUUCUACAUAUAAGAUUGGGUUAUCUGUGAACAGAGAUAAUCUUAUGCUCUCCUUUCCACUGUGGAUACCUUUAUUUCUUUUUCUUGCCUAAGUGCUCUGGCUAGUACUCCCAGUGCUAUGUGGAAGAGAAGUGGCAAAUAUGUGUAUCCCGGUCUUAUUCCUGAUCUUAGGGGAAAGCUUUCACUUUCACCACUGAGAAUAUUGUUAGCCAUGGGAUUCUCAAAUAUGGCCUUUAUCAUGAUAGGGAAGUUACUCUGUAUUCCCUAGUUUCUUAAGUGUUUUUAUCAUUAAAAAAAAAAGUUGGAUUUAAUAAAGUGCUUUUUCUGCAUCAAUUGAGAUGGUCAUGUAGUUUUGGUAUUCGUUCAUUUAGGGCAGUGCAUUUUACUGGUUGAUAAAAUUUAUGUUGAACUACCAUUGCACUCCGAAAAUAAAUCCCACUUGGUUAUGGUGAGUAAACAUUUAAGGUGCCAUUGUGUUCAAUUUGUAUACAUAUGGCAUAUUGGUGUGUAAUUUUCUUUCCUUGUGACAUCCUUAUUGUGAUUUGGUAUUAGUGUAAUGCUGACUUCAUGAAUGAGUUAGGAAGUGUUCCUUCCUCUUUGAUUUUUGGGAAGAGUUUCAGAAGAAUUAGUGUUCAUUCUUCUUUAAAUGUUUUGGUAGAAUUCACUAGUAAAGCAAUCUUGUCCUCAGCUUGUCACUGAUAGGCUUCUGAUUACUGACUCCGUCUCCGCACUAGUUAUAGGAGUAUUCAAAUUUUCUAUUUCUUCAUUUGUCAGUUUUGGUAGAUUGUGUGUUUCUAAGAAUAUGUCCAUUUUACCUAGGUUAUCCAAUUUAUUGGUGUAUCAUUGUUCAUAGUAUUAUUUUACAACCCUCUUUAUUUCUGUAAAAUAAGUAAUAAUGUUCUCAAUGUCAUUUCUGAUUUUAAUAAUACGAGUCAUCUCUCUUUUCCAUAGUCAGUCCACCUAAAGGUUUGUUAAUUUUGCUGAUCUUUUCAAAGAGCCAGCUUUUGGUUUUGGUGAUUUUUCUCUAUUGCUUUUUCAUUCUCUGUGUUAUCGAUCUCUGCUCUAGUCUUCAUUAUUUCUUCCCUUCGGUUAUUUUUGGAUUUGGUUUGCUUUUCUAUUUUUAUUUCCUCAAGGUGUAUAAGAGGUUAUGAUUUAGUUACGAUCAGGUAUGAUUCUUCUUUUUCAGUGUAUGCAUUUACAUAAAUCUCCCCCUUUGCAUUCCUUUUGUUGUAUUUCAUAACUUUUGCUAUGUUGCAUUUUCUUCAUUUGUCUCAAAAUAUUUUAUAACUUCCCUUGUCAUUUCUUCUUAACAACUAAACUUGUUAAAGAGUGUGUUGUUUAAUUUCUACAUGUUUGUGAAUUUUCCAGUUUUCCUUCUGUUAUUGACAUGUAGUUUUAUACCAUUAUGAUCAGAAAAGAAAUUUUGAAUAAUUUUAAUUUUUAAAAAUUAAAACAUUUUAAAUUUUAGCCUUAUUUUGUGGCUGAUAAUCUAUCCUGGAGAAUGUUCGAUGCGCACUUGAAAAGAAUGUGUAUUCCACCGUUGUUGCCUUAAGUGUUGUCUAUAUGCCUGUUACGUACGUCCUCUAUUUUCUUAUUUAUCUGUCUGAUUGUUCUGUCUUAUUAUUGAAAGUGAGGUACUGAAAUAUCCCAGUACUAGUGUAGGACUAUCUAUCUCUCCCGUCAAUUCUGCCAAUUUUUUUUCAUAUCUUUUGGGGCCCUGUCAUUAGGUGUUUCCUCAAUUUUUUGUUAUAAUUGUUACAUCUUCAUGCUGUAUCUCCUUUAUUAAUAUAUAUUGUCUUCCUUUGUCUUUUGUAACCUUUUUGUGAUUUAAAGUCUAUUUUAUCUGACAAUAACACAGCUGCCCCAACUCUUGGUUACUAUUUGCAUGAAAUACCUUUUUCCAUCCUUUUUCUUUCAACCCAUUUGUAUUUUUUAAAUCUAAAGUAAGUCUCUUAUACACAGAAUAUACGUGAAGCCUGUGGGUUUUUAAAUCCAAUCUCCCAAUUUCUUUUUAACUAGCGGGGUUUAGUUCAUUUACAUUUAAUGUGAUUAUUGGUAAAGAUUUACUUCAGCCAUUGAGAUAUUUGUUUUCUGUAUGUCAUAUGUUUUUUCUUUCUUCAGUUACUCCAUGUUUGUGUUUUGUUGAUUUUUUUAUAGUGGGCCACUUUAAGUCCCCUUUCCUUUCUUUUUCUGUAUAUAUUUUAGUUAUUUUCUUGGGGGUUAUAAUUAAUACCUUAAACUUACGACACCCUAGUUUGAAUAAUACCAACUUAGUUUCGGUAGGGCGUAAGAGCUUUGUCCCUCUAUGUCCCUGCCCUUUCCUUUCUAUUGUUAUUGUCACAUAUUGCAUCUUCGCACUCUCUGACCGCUAACACAGGUUUAUAAUCACUGUUUUAGUCAUUGCCUAAUAAAUCACGCAGGAAAAAAAAUAGGAGUUACAAACCGCGAAAAAAGUAAAAUAAUUCUGGCUUUUAUAUUUACUUUAUUAGUUAUCUCUACCAUUGUUUUUUAUUCUUCAUAUGGCUUCAAGGUACUGACUAGAGUACUUUCAUGUCAGCAUGAAAGACUCCCUUUAGCAUUUCCUGUAGGGCAAUCUGCUGAUAAUGCACUGCUCAGGUUUUUGUUUAUCUGGAAAGGUCUUAAUUUUGUCCUCAUUAUUAAAAGGUUAUUUAAAAGUACACACAAUUCCUGGUUGACAGCUUAUUUUUUUCUUUUAGGAUUUUGAAUAUGUCAUUCCACUACCUUCUGGCUGCCACAGUUUCUCAGGAGAAAUCAGCUGUUACCAUAUCGAGGCUCUUUUGCACAUGAGAAAUUGCUUCUGUCCUGCUGCUUUCACCAUUCUCUCUGUCCUUGGGUUUCCUCAAUUUUUUGUAAUAUGUGUUGAUGUGAGUUCUUUGAGGUUUUCCUGCAUCUAAUUUAUUGAGAUUCCCGAAUGAGUAUAUUCAUGUUUUCUCAGAGUUGGGAAGUUUGGAGCCAUUAUUCCUUCAAACACCUUUUCUUCCAUUUAGUCUCUUCUCCUUCUGUAACUUUUGUGAGCAAUGUUAGUACAUUUGGCUCUGUUCAAUUUUCCUCAAUCUUUUUUCAUUUUUGCUACAUGGACAAUUAUUUUAAUUGUCUUAAGUUCACCCAUCCCUUCUUCUGCUUGUUUAAGUUUGCUGGUAAACCCCUUCCAUUAAGGUUUGUAUUUUACUUUUUGGACUUUUCCAUUCCAGAACUUCUGUAUGGUUCUUUAAAAGAGAGAGAGAGAGAGAGAGAGAGAGAGAGAGA